rnacentral:rRNA from 1 species
UACGGGGGGGGCAAGCGUUGUUCGGAAUUACUGGGCGUAAAGGGCUCGUAGGCGGCCAACUAAGUCAGACGUGAAAUCCCUCGGCUUAACCGGGGAACUGCGUCUGAUACUGGAUGGCUAGAGUUUGGGAGAGGGAUGCGGAAUUCCAGGUGUAGCGGUGAAAUGCGUAGAUAUCUGGAGGAACACCGGUGGCGAAGGCGGCAUCCUGGACCACACUGACGCUGAGGAGCGAAAGCCAGGGGA